UCACCUUUGGGAGUGAAAACAGGAGAAGAACCUUAAGAGUACUGUACACAAACUGGUUUGAAAACAAUGAUAAAUUUUAGAUUAAGACAGUGUUUAGAGAGACAGUGCUUAAGAAAGGCCUUGCUUUUUGAUCUGAGUUAUUUUCAUCAGUUAAUUUUUUUCUCUUUUCUUUGUAAUUUGAAUAGAUUUAGUAAAGAGUGUUUUGGUUGGAAUAUAUGGCAGUAUAUGAAGAGAUCAGUUGAUAGCUUUUUGAUUUGAAAUAGUGUAGCUCUUCAACAUUCUGCCAUGUUAGGUGCAUGUACUUAAGUACUGGUGUGGUUUUCUAAACUGAUUCUGCCGGUCAGCAUACAGUAAAUGGUCUGUUGUGGUUAAUACUUCUUUGGAAAUCUCAUUUCAAGUUUGUUUUUUUUUUUUUUUUUUUAAUUCAUACAUUACUCAAACUCCCAACAAAAUAGUUGUUAUGCUGUGUGCAGGCAGUCCUUUGUUCCUUAUUACUUUUUAAUAUACAUUUUCUUUUUAUUGGUAGAGUUCAGUAGUAUCAGUGUGUGUAUAUAUGUAUAUACAGACAAUAUUAUAUAUAUAUAUAGUGUAUGUAUUGGCUACUAUAAGUGACUGAGAGCAAAGUGAUUUGAAAUGAAGAUACUUGGACUUGCUCAGUUUUCACUGUGGCAAAGUGCAGUUAUAUGAAUAGAACUGCUUAAACAUGAAGUUUGGUCUUGGCUAGAUCUGCCAACUAGACACAGUAAUAGAGGUGUGAGGGCUUAGUUAAGAAGUCUCUAUAACCAGUCUGUUGGCAGAAAAUUACAGUGGGGAUGAUAGCAACAACUGUUAUUAUUAGUAUUGAAAUAUGUCACCUCAUAAAGCAUCUUUUAGAGAACGAUAAAAUUGCAACAGUUGGAAUGACAUAGUUAUGCUUAUCACAAUGUGGAAAGAUUAAAUAUCAGAGUAUGUGGCUUUGUUAACUGCCUUUUUUAACAGCUGUGAUUUUGGAAAGUUUCACAAUUCAUAGUUUAAAAUUUUACAGUAAAUUAAAAAAGACUGGAAAUUAAUUUUGCACUUUUGCACUGCAUGUUGCUCUUUCUGUAAUCACCUCUCUGUAUCUCUUCGUUUUUUAUGCAUCCUAUUCUGAAAAUUUCCUUUAGGGUUAGGGGAGUUGGGAGUAAUGGAAGUUAAUUAUUUCUUUAAGUUAUCUUUUAGGUGGCUUGAGAACCAAUCAGUGAUUCUGUAUAUAAUCUACAGGUGUAUAUCACAGAUUGAGUGAAAUAACUGGAAUUUCUCCGUUCUUGUUUUACACAAAUACACCGGAAACUCAAGAAAUCAGGUCUUAAAAAUCUGAGCAAAGCUGGAUCCGGAACGUCUUCUCACAAACAACCAAGCAAUGUGAUGAAUAAAACACAGAGGUGGUGAUCUGAUGGCAGGCAAAAGAAAGAUGUCCAGAGGAGUGAGCUCAAUCCUUAUCUUCCACCAUGCAACAGUUAUGAGCACAUAUUGUAGAGAGCAUCUUAAAACUGCAAAAUCCUAAAGGUACAUGAUGUUAAAGCUUCAAGACAGUGGCUGGAACUUCCAGAUCAGAGAAGCGAGAAGGAAAAUCCAGACAAUUCUUCCUAACUACAGAUCAAGGAAUAUAUUCAGUAAACAAGUAGGAGUAAAAUGGACCAACACUUCUUUUAUAUAUUUGAAGCCAAAAAUUUGAUAUUCGUUCUGGGAUGGUCAUCCAAGGCUUUGAACCAUAUAUCCCAGUCUAGUAUGACAUACCAGUCUUUCUUACAAGAUAUCAAUGAUAACUAAGAGAUGGAUCAGUGAUAAUGUGUAUUUUUCCGUAAAUACUAAAAUUUGCAAAGAUCGCCCAGAAGAUGCAGAGUGAUCCUGCAGCACCACCCCACAGACUGAAAAUACAGAGCUGAAGUUUUGUGAGCACACUGCUGUAAUGUGCCUAUUGAUAAGGUUACAGCAUCUUUUCCACAGUGAGUGCUGUUCUGACUUCUGUGAGGUUGGGAGCAACCUUUCUUUUGUAAACUUUCAAAGUCAUGCCUGCGAAUAUUCUACCAGUGCCGCGUACCCUGACUGAUGAAGUAAGUGAGAUCUAAAAGCAUUCCCAUGUAGGAUGAGAGGACCAUGGUAAUGUUGUAUCUCAUCUAUGAGUGUGAAGGUAUAAAUUGUGUAAUGGAGAAGCCAAACCUGAAAACUUACUGGUGAUACAUUACCUUAAGGCAUCAUACAGAAGUAUCACAUGGAAGGUUAGGUAGAUUUGUCAUCGUGAUAGGAAGAAGACCCGCAUGUGUAUGUUAUGGCAGUCCAAAACCUUUCUUGAAAUGCAGAUUGUUGCAGGUUCUAAGGAGUGAGGAGUGAAUUCCAAUUCUUUUUUGUCCCUUCAGCUGCCAGCUGUCCGGGCCAGGAGAGGGAUACAAAGUUGCAUCCAAAGUAGUGAUUCUGUUGAGAGUUUGAGAGGAGUGGAGGUGAAAGCUGGUACACAGAAGAUCCUCCUUCUGUGAAGUUUUCCAUGCGGAGUGAGUCAGCAUUGGCAACUUGUUUAACAGUUUGAUGCUGCCAGGUACGGGUGUGAGGAUUCUGAAGGACUGGGACUGAAGCCCCUUGCACAUGUUGAACUGGUGUGAAAAAACCUGCUGGGGGUCUGUUGCCAUCAAACUAGGAAUCACAAGACUUCUUUUUUUUGGCUUGAAAUUGAACCAUAUGCUAGUAGAAUUGUAUUCUCUUGAGUAACCAUGUCUUGCUUUGUGAGGUGGAAAAGAUGAAGGUAAACAGAUCUUUGAGGUUAUAGGCACAUGUGCUGAGGACUGGUCGGAUGCCCCAGGCAAUGCUACAUACUGUUCCACAUGGGCUAAUGUACUAACACCUACAAAGGAGAGGUCAAUGAGAAACUGACUCAUAAGGUCAAUGAGAAAUUAUUUAGAAGUCUAAGACUCCAGAUACAGAGCUUUUUGUUGAGCAUGCCCUGAUCUUUGUGCAGUUACUCUGAAAUUCCACAUGAAGGAAUGACAUGAGGUCUGUGUCCUAGGCUGGAUGCUCCAGAGUGAAAACUCCACACACCACCUUCUUACUGAGAGUAACUGGAAGAAUCUAGAAGCAUGAGUUUAAAUUACAGAAAAGUGGUCAAAUGGUGCAAAUACCAGUAAGGAAUACUACAUUUUCAAAGGGGUGUCCAGGGACUAUGGAAUGCUGAAGCCCACCUGGCAGAAAACAGAAACUGGAAAAAAGCCAGACUUGCUGUGUGUCGGGCACAUUAGAAUGUGGACACCAUCAAGGUUUAUGUGGAAAUCUUGUCUCCACUUAAAAAGUAUCUGUACAGCUGAACAGCAGAUACACAUGGAUUAUCUUAAAAGAUAAACCAACAUAUUACCUUAUCAUAAUCUUAUUUGGUUUUUGACAUUAUUUCUAUUCAUUUUUAGACUGUGCACACUAAUGUACAUGAUAUGGUACGGUGCAAUGCUCCUUCUUUAAUACAUUUCUAUCACAGGUUGUAUUCCAGUACAACACUCGCUUACAGCAGCGUUUUGUAAGACAUGUGAGACUGGUGGCAGGAUCACUAAAACAAUUUAACUGGAGAGUAGUUCCACACAGACAAGUAUGUAGAUCAUCAGAUGUCCUCCAUAGUUUGUACAAAAUUUCUUGUAUUGGAAGUUGAAACUACUUUGUGUGUCUGAGCCUAAGGAUCUAUUCCUACACUGAGCAGACUGCAUAAAUGUUAGCUGCUUUAAUAGCUUGUGGUUUUUUUCAGAGAUUAGUAGGCUAAAUGGUCCUUGAUGAGAAAAAAAGAAUUUGGAAACUACUUUUUAUAUUCUAGAAGAUUUCCACAGCCUAGUUGCCUAAACUUGCUGGACCUUAAUUAACUUUCUACAUACAAGUCUUACUGCUAGAGAAAACAUAACAAUGAAUUGGUAAGUUGUUUUGCAGCAAUUUAGCUGAGUGGAUGCAAAAAUACUAAUGGGUAAAAAGAAUCAUACCUACUCUCAAUCACUUGCCUUUUACCAUAUGCAGGACUUGCUCUGGAUGAUCAGCACAGGCAAGUGAUUGUGUUAGGCUGGGCCAGCUAAAAUGUUGUUUUCGAAGUAUGUGAGUGCAGCUGCCUUGCAGAAAUGUAUUGCAGUAAGAUCUUCCAGAUCUCGAAUAUGGCUGUAAUGGCUGUCUAAAAAUAAUACCUAACAAAGGGUGUCCUUCACAGGGGAAGCCAGAAAUAACCUUUUUCCCUGUCAAAAUGUAAGGCUAUUAUCAGUUACUUUACAAGCAGCAGCUUGACCCAGAGACCACGAAAGAGCUGACUUUCAACAUAUUUUCUACGUAAGCAAUCUUGAGCUUGGACUUCCCCCCCCAAAGAGAUAAUAAAUACCAGUCGCUUCAA